rnacentral:rRNA from 1 species
GGUGAACGCUGGCGGCGUGCUUAACACAUGCAAGUCGAACGGAGGACCCUUGACGGAGUUUUCGGACAACGGAUAGGAAUCCUUAGUGGCGGACGGGUGAGUAACGCGUGAGGAACCUGCCUUGGAGAGGGGAAUAACACAGAGAAAUUUGUGCUAAUACCGCAUGAUGCAGUUGGGUCGCAUGGCUCUGACUGCCAAAGAUUUAUCGCUCUGAGAUGGCCUCGCGUCUGAUUAGCUAGUUGGUAGGGUAACGGCCUACCAAGGCGACGAUCAGUAGCCGGACUGAGAGGUUGACCGGCCACAUUGGGACUGAGACACGGCCCAGACUCCUACGGGAGGCAGCAGUGGGGAAUAUUGGGCAAUGGGUGCAAGCCUGACCCAGCAACGCCGCGUGAAGGAAGAAGGCUUUCGGGUUGUAAACUUCUUUUAUGAGGGACGAAGGAAGUGACGGUACCUCAUGAAUAAGCUCCGGCUAACUACGUGCCAGCCGCCGCAGUAA